AACGCUGGCGGAAUGCUUUACACAUGCAAGUCGAACGGCAGCACGGACUUCGGUCUGGUGGCGAGCGGCGAACGGGUGAGUAAUAUAUCGGAACGUAUCCAAUAAUGGGGGAUAACUAAUCGAAAGGUUGGCUAAUACCGCAUACGCCCUACGGGGGAAAGCUAGGGACCUUCGGGCCUGGCGUUAAUGGAGCGGCUGAUAUCUGAUUAGCUAGUAGGUGAGGUAAAGGCUCACCUAGGCGACGAUCAGUAGCUGGUCUGAGAGGACGACCAGCCACACUGGAACUGAGACACGGUCCAGACUCCUACGGGAGGCAGCAGUGGGGAAUUUUGGACAAUGGGCGAAAGCCUGAUCCAGCCAUUCCGCGUGAGUGAAGAAGGCCUUCGGGUUGUAAAGCUCUUUCGCAAGGGAAGAAAACUUAGGCGCUAAUAUCGCUUGAGGUUGACGGUACCUUGAUAAGAAGCACCGGCUAACUACGUGCCAGCAGCCGCGGUAAUACGUAGGGUGCGAGCGUUAAUCGGAAUUACUGGGCGUAAAGCGUGCGCAGGCGGUUUUGUAAGUCAGAUGUGAAAUCCCCGAGCUCAACUUGGGAACUGCGUUUGAAACUACAAGACUAGAAUAUGUCAGAGGGGGGUAGAAUUCCACGUGUAGCAGUGAAAUGCGUAGAGAUGUGGAGGAAUACCAAUGGCGAAGGCAGCCCCCUGGGAUAAUAUUGACGCUCAUGCACGAAAGCGUGGGGAGCAAACAGGAUUAGAUACCCUGGUAGUCCACGCCCUAAACGAUGUCUACUAGUUGUUGGUGGAGUAAAAUCCAUGAGUAACGCAGCUAACGCGUGAAGUAGACCGCCUGGGGAGUACGGUCGCAAGAUUA
rnacentral:rRNA from 1 species